UACGUAGGGGGCAAGCGUUGUCCGGAAUCAUUGGGCGUAAAGAGCGCGUAGGCGGCCCUGUAAGUCCGCUGUGAAAGUCAAGGGCUCAACCCUUGGAUGCCGGUGGAUACUGCAGGGCUAGAGUUCGGAAGAGGCGAGUGGAAUUCCCGGUGUAGCGGUGAAAUGCGCAGAUAUCAGGAAGAACACCCGUGGCGAAGGCGGUUCUCUGGGACGGUACUGACGCUGAGACGCGAAAGCGUGGGGAGCGAACAGG
rnacentral:rRNA from 1 species